rnacentral:misc_RNA from 1 species
GUAGGUGAACCUGCGGAAGGAUCAUUAACACGUAUCCAACGUUAACCAACCUGUGAACAUACGUAAUUGUGCCUGAGUGGCGUUUUCCCAGUAAGAGGGCUGUUCGCAAGAACAAAGCUUUUAUUGGGCGGCGUUGCUCCUUAUUUCACCAAUUUUAACCCUUGUAAACUUACGAACUGAAACUUGCUUUUGCUAUUGAUCGGUAACCUGGUCAAUGGGCGGAAGUAUUUUACGAAACUUAAUACAACUCUUAGCAACGGAUAUCUUGGUUCUC